rnacentral:rRNA from 1 species
UACGGGGGGGCAAGCGUUGUUCGGAAUUACUGGCGUAAAGGCUCGUAGGCGGCCAACUAAGUCAGACGUGAAAUCCCUCGGCUUAACCGGGGAACUGCGUCUGAUACUGGAUGGCUUGAGGUUGGGAGAGGGAUGCGGAAUUCCAGGUGUAGCGGUGAAAUGCGUAGAUAUCUGGAGGAACACCCGUGGCGAAAGCGGCUCUCUGGAACGGUACUGACGCUGAGACGCGAAAGCGUGGGAGCGAACAGG